rnacentral:pre_miRNA from 1 species
UAUGUACUCCCUCCGUUCCAAAAUACUUGACUUCCAUUUGCCCAAAAAUGGAUGUGCCUAUAUACUAAAACAUGUCUAGAUACAUAUAUAUUUUGACAAAUAGAAGGCAUGUAUUGUGCAACAGAGGGAGUAGAAU